CAACAUACGAGAAACUUUUGGGCCCAAGGAAAGACACGAUGACUAUCUAGAUGUGAUUGUGACUGGCUUAGUAGAGGAAUUCACAUUUCUAGAGAUGAUUUGUGGACUUGGGACAAUUUUGGGCAGGAUCCUAGGAUGAAUUAUUAUGGAAGUAACUUCAACCUUUCUACCUUAAUUGUUUCUGCUCAAAGCUAUGACUUGACUCCCUGUAAGGCAGAGCAGAAACACACCCCCAAAAAUCCCAACAACUGAUCUGACUACCUGUGGACUCAGACAGACUCAUUUGGGUUCCAGCUUUACCACUGUAUCAUGAGAGGAAGGAGUGCAAGUUACAUUAUCUCUUUACCACAUUUUCCAUUAUCCUGGAAUCUCCUGGUGGGCCCAAUCUAACUACAAGAGCUCUUAAAAUCAAAAAAGAGAGGCAGAAGAGUGGGUCAGAGAGAUGAGAUGGAAAAAGGAGGAGAGAUUUUCAACACAACAGGAAUUUGACCGAAAGUUACUGGCUUUGAAGAUGGAAGAAGGGAGACACAAGCCAAGGAAGGCAGGUGACGUCUAAAAGCUGGGAUUGGACCUGAGCUGACAGCUGGCAAAAAACAAGCAUCUCAAUACUAUAACUUUAAGGAACUGGAUUUGCCAACAAUCUGAAUGAACAAGGAAAAAGAUCCUCCCCCAAAAUCUCCAGGCAGGAAGACAGCCCUGACAGCACCUGGAUUUGAGCCUGGUGAGACCUGUGUCAGAAUUCUAUGUAUGGAACUGUAAGAUAAUAAAUCUGUUGUCUUAAAACA
rnacentral:lncRNA from 1 species